AAGUGAGGAGGAAUGAUACCGCCGCCCCAUUCAAAUCUACAUGCCUCUUCUCUCUCAUUUUAAAGUUUCAGCAAGGAAAUGUUAUAUGUUUAUUCUCUCAUUGUUCACUGAACCAUCUUCUUCUUCAUUUAGAAAAAAAACAACUUUUAAUACUCCUUUACCACUAUAUACAUAUACAUUCUCCUUGCAACAUAAUAUCAUUCCUGGCUACUAAUGAUAAAUACCACCUCCAGUACACAUACAAAGGACUCCAACCAUUAUUAUACCACCUUCACACACAUUAACAACCACACAUAUCUCAUCAUGAACACUACAACAUCACCAAUCAUUUCUC
rnacentral:lncRNA from 1 species